rnacentral:lncRNA from 10 species
UAAGAAUGAUGGUUUCCAGCUUAAAUGUGAUCUUUUAUGACUGGUUUCUUUCACACAGAAUAAUGUUUUCAAGGUUCAUCCAGGCUGUAGCAGCACUUCAUUUCUUUGUAUUGCCAAAUACUAUUCCAUUGUGUGACUAUAACACAUUUUAUGUACCCUUUCAUCUUUUGAUUGACAUUUGGGUUGUUCCCACUUUUUGACACUUAUGAAUAAUGAUGUUGUGAAUAUUCGUGUAUAAACUUUUGUGUGGACAUAUAUUUUCAUUUCUCUUUGGUAUUGACCUAAUAGUGGGAUUGCAAGGUUGUGUGUUUAACACUAUGUUAAAUAUUUUUAGGAAGCCCCAAGCUGUUUUCCAAAGUGGUUGUACCAUUUUACAUUCUCACCAGCAAUGUACCAGGACAAUAUCAACUCUGCCACUUGAAACCAAGGCUUCUAAUGACAUGAACUGAAGGAAAAGUCUUGAUUUCAGAUUUUUGUUUGGCCUGUUUCAUCUCCAUUUGCCGACCCUGGAUUACGCAGAUAGUGCACUGCUUUUAGUAAUCUAGGCCCUUGUGCCAGACCUUGACUGUCAUACUGCAUUAUAACUGAUGGUUCAAAUGCUUCUUUUACAUAAGGAGUAUUUUCUUCCCAGAGAUACCUCUAAGAUAUUCAUGGCUAACUAAAAAUACUCCUGAAUGCUGUUCUCAAGUAGAGUUUCAAGGUCAACAUGAAAAUUGUUAUCACUCUCUUAUGUGACAUAAAAAAAUCUGUUUUAUCUUUGUAACAAUGCUUUCAUUAAAAAAAAAAAAAAGCUUUGCAAUUCCUCUGCUACACUAGUGUUUUCUCAGAUACCAAACAGGCUAUGCCUUGAUGGCAAGAAGAACAAGUUAUGAUUAUUUAUAUGCCAGUGUGCACUUGUU